rnacentral:misc_RNA from 1 species
UUUCCGUAGGUGAACCUGCGGAAGGAUCAUUAGCAGUCGGCCCCGGGCCGCGUCCGUCCCUUGGGCGGGCGCGCGCUCCCGGCGGCACCUCUGAUUCUACCUGUGCAUCGUGACCCUUUGUUUCGCGCACUGCGAAAUCAAAGUCUCGAAGACCAAAAGAUGAAAGGCACAAAAUGAAGCAACGGAUCUCUUGGCUCUCGCAUCGAUGAAGAACGCAGC